GGGGCCCUGCCGGAUGAUCGCGCUUCUCUAACUCUAUGGAAUGGCUAUUUGCCUUCCCAGGGUAGAGUGUGAGGAAAGUCCGGACACCAUGGAAUCGCGGGACCGGGUAAUCCCCGGAAUUCUUCUCUUUCAAAAGAAGGGAAGGGUAUGGAAAGUGCAGCAGAAAAUAAACCGCCUCGAAUUCGUUCGAGGUAAGGGUGAAACGGCGGGGUAAGAGCCCACCGCCAUUCUUGUGAAAGAAUGGGCAAGGUAAACCCUCCCCGGUGCAAUCCCGAAUAGGCGACCGUCAGUUGCGGAUUCCGCAAGGUCGUGGGUAGGGAGCAAAGAGUUCGAUCGGUAACUUUCGAACCAAGAUAAAUGAUCAUCGUCGGAAAGCUUCGAGAGAGGCCUUCCGAUACAGAAUCCGGCUUACAGGCAGGCCCCUUUU
rnacentral:RNase_P_RNA from 1 species